AGAGUUUGAUCAUGGCUCAGAACGAACGCUGGCGGCAGGCUUAACACAUGCAAGUCGAACGGUCUCUUCGAAGGCAGUGGCAGACGGGUGAGUAAUGCAUGGGAAUCUACCGUUCUCUACGGAAUAACUCAGGGAAACUUGUGCUAAUACCGUAUACGCCCUUUUGGGGAAAGAUUUAUCGGAGAAUGAUGAGCCCAUGUUGGAUUAGCUAGUUGGUAGGGUAAAGGCCUACCAAGGCGACGAUCCAUAGCUGGUCUGAGAGGAUGAUCAGCCACACUGGGACUGAGACACGGCCCAGACUCCUACGGGAGGCAGCAGUGGGGAAUAUUGGACAAUGGGCGCAAGCCUGAUCCAGCCAUGCCGCGUGAGUGAUGAAGGCCCUAGGGCUGUAAAGCUCUUUCACCGGUGAAGAUAAUGACGGUAACCGGAGAAGAAGCCCCGGCUAACUUCGUGCCAGCAGCCGCGGUAA
rnacentral:rRNA from 1 species